UUGAAUUAUAAUAGAUUAUUAUGUUAGUUACCCGAAAUAGGAUGAGCUAAUUACCAUAUAUGUUUUGGACUAUUAUACCAUAAUGUGGCAUAAUUAAGGUACAAAUGCUAAUUAGGGGUGAAAGGCCUAUCAAAUUCUAUCGAUAUCUGGAUAAACCUGAAAUAUAUUUAGUAUAAUUGACUCAAAUAUAAAAUUUUAAGGUUUUAUAUAUAAAAAAUGCUGUAGGUAGUUCGGUGUCAGUAAAUUAAUAUUUAGUGGCUAAUUAGAAUUUAUAAUAGUAUUACUGUAUAUUUUUCGUUUUAAGGUUUUAGUUCCCAAGCUUAUUAGGGGAUUGGAUUAUGUUUAAAUUAGUCAUAUUGCAAGUAAGUACUUAAAAGCAACUCGGCAAACCUCAACCUCAACUGUUUAUCAAAAACAUAGCUAAUUGUCCUCUAUAAUUGGUAACUUCUGCCCGGUGAAUUAUUUUAACGGCCGCAGUACACUGACUGUGCAAAGGUAGCAUAAUAAUUUGACUUUUAAUUGGAGUCUAGCAUGAACGAAAUAAUGGGGUAAAACUGUCUCUUAAGUAUUAACCUUAAUUUACUUAAAAAGUGAAAAGACUUUUGUUAACAAGAAAAGACGAGAAGACCCUAUGAAUUUUUAUAAAUGGGGAUGCAACUUCUCCUUUAUUUUUGUUGGGGCAACAAAUUGACAAGUGGUUUUUGCAACCAUUAAAUUCAUCUAGAUAACUUUAUACGGCUACAACACAGCUAUUAAUAAUGUAUCGAAUUUUAUUAGUUUUAAAUAAAUUACUGUAGGGAUAACAGCAUAAUUUAAAAUAAGAUUGUGACCUCGAUGUUGGACUAGGAAACAAUUUAGGCAGCACCUAUAAUGUAUAGUUCUGUUCGAACUUAACCUCCU
rnacentral:rRNA from 1 species